rnacentral:misc_RNA from 1 species
AAAAAAUAUAAAAAAGGGAGAUGACAUUGAAGACAAAUUUUGCUUUUGAGAAGGUCAGAGUCACAAAAGGUAAAAUUAUUUUGGGGCCAAAAGGGAAUUUUGUCCCUCAACUAUCUGUUCUAAAAACAUCUCUGCAAAUCAAUGUAAAGGAUGAACUGAUGACAAGCAACAUUCCAUGUUUAGAGCAAAGUAACGAAGGAUGCAGCAGGGAACGAGUAGUAACUGACAGUUGUGAUAAGAUAUAAACCAUCCCAACCAGCACAUCUUCAAACCACCAUAAAAUGAAGCUAAUAUUUAAAAAUCAAAUGUUAUUGGAAAAGAAAAAAAAACUAACUACAAUCAGUGACUUGGCAAGCUUAAACCAUAAAUCUGUGACAUGAUUACCCACAUGGUAAGAGAGUCAUCCCGCAUAGAGGCAUUUAGUAAAUGCCAUUUGUUGCUAUGCCUUCAGCUUGCUACUCAUUCCACGUUUACUGUGCCAGACCUUACGCCUAUCUCCAUGCAUGGAGUUCUUGGCUGCCGCAGAACACUGAUGAGUUCGUUUACCUUUGCUCAUCUCUUUUUGGAGCUUGCGCCGCCUCAUCCGAUUCUCCAACCGGAUUCCUUUUAGAGCUCGAACCCUCCGCUCGAUUUCCAAAGCUUGCGAAAAGUUCCAGAUCCUUACAACACCCUCUUCUCCUCCACAUACUAUACGGUCAGCGCCAAUGUCCACCGAAAACAAAUUGGGCCCAAAUCCAUGUAGCAUCCUUUGGGGUGGUUCCACACUGCAGUCCACAUUUUUAGCCCUUGAAAUAUUCUUUCCCAAGGAGCGUCUGCUUGUCCUUGGUAGUUUUCUAACAUCUAUCAGUGACAACUUACCAUCACUAGAAGCUGAAAUCAGCCAUGGAAACUCAAAUGCAAGGGAAUAAACAGGACCAGAAUGAGGAAUCCAAGUUGCCACCUUAAAAACAUUUGCCAUGUAGUUGUGACCUAUGAUCUCAAACAUAUGUAUUGCCCCAUCUUCUCCUCCAGUAAAAAGGAAGUCCCCUGUGUGGCUUCUUGCCAAAGAAUAAGUGUUGCCAACAUGAGCACGGUCAAUAACAGUUAACGGAGUCCCACUACAAGCGUCCCAAACAUACACAUCUGAGCCUGAUGUGCUAGCAACUGUUGUAUCGUGUGGAGCAAGGCCCCAUACCCAGUCACUAUGUCUCAAGACCUUUAAGCACUUUAGAGAGGAACGAUCCCAUACACGAACAGUCAUGUCCCAUGAGCCGCUGUAAAUCCUCAUGAGGUCCAAUGCAAGAGAUGUUAUUGGUCCCUCAUGUUCCCAAAGUCUAAAUUCAGUAUUUGGCUCCUCAGAACCCUUAAGGUUGAACAAGUAUGGGAGACCCUCCACUGCCUUCCAACCUUGGAUGAAACCAUCAGUACCACCAGCAACCAAAAGCUUUGUAUCCGCUGCAACUGCUCGAAUAGUGCCUCCAAGGGGCCUUGAAGAUGAAAUAGACAGUCCAUCUUCCAUGUCCCAGAUCCGAACAAUGGAGUCAUACCCAGAAGUAAAAAUGAGCUUAGCAGAAGCCAAAAGGAAAACUGUUCUAACUGCUUCUGUAUGACCAUACAGAACAUCAAUGCUGUAACCACCCAAGAAAGUUUUACUCCUAAACUCUCUCUCCACAAACAAUUCCUUCCAUGACUUCUCAUCUGAAAGCCCCACGCCUAGUGGUGCAGGCACCAACGGGAGUCCCCAUCUCUCACAAUAGACUUCUUUCCAAACCUGGUUCUCAGAUGCAAGUCUAUUGAGAAUGGUCGAUACACACGAAACUACACCAAGCUCCUUAGGGUCAAGACAAUUAAGGAUUUCAGAAAUCAAGGCCGGAGGAAGGUCAGUGAUUGACCAGCGAUAAUUGGGAAAAACAUCAUUACAAGGCAGCUGUUUUGAACUUUCAGCUAUUGAAAUUGCCUUCUUAGAAUGGCAAUCAAAUGAGGAGUUUGAAAUUCCAGAAUUUUUUGCUUUUGGAUUAGAAUUCUCCUCACAAUUGUAA